GGGCCUGUAGCUCAGUUGGUAGAGCGCUUGUAUGGCAUACAAGAGGUAAGGGGUUCGAUCCCCCUCAGGUCCA
rnacentral:tRNA from 1 species